CACGGGGGGAGCAAGCGUUGUUCGGAAUCACUGGGCGUAAAGGGCGUGUAGGCGGUUCGGUAAGUGAAAUGUGAAAUGCCCCGGCUCACCCGGGGACCUGCAUCUCAAACUGCCGGACUAGAGUAUGGGAGAGGAUGAGGGAAUUCCUGGUGUAGCGGUGAAAUGCGUAGAUAUCAGGAGGAACACCGGUGGCGAAAGCGCUCAUCUAGCCCAAUACUGACGCUGAGGCGCGAAAGCUAGGGGAGCAAACGGG
rnacentral:rRNA from 1 species